rnacentral:rRNA from 1 species
UACGUAGGUGACCAGCGUUGUCCGGAUUUACUGGGCGUAAAGAGCGCGCAGGCGGUCGUUCAAGUCGAGUGUGAAAGCCCCCGGCUCAACUGAGGAGGGUCAUUCGAUACUGAUCGACUGGAAGGCAGGAGAGGGAAGCGGAAUUCCCGGUGUAGUGGUGAAAUGCGUAGAUAUCGGGAGGAACACCAGUGGCGAAGGCGGCUUCCUGGCCUGUUCUUGACGCUGAGGCGCGAAAGCUAGGGGAGCAAACGGG